AUAUUUCUAUCCCAGAUAUGGUUUCUCUACAAAAAAUAAAUUAGAAGGGAACUAGUUUAAAACAUCUAGGCUUGGUCUGAUGCAUCCAUUAUCUCUACCAGGGACGAAAGCCAUGGGGAGUGAAGAGCCAAUGGGGAGAGAAGUACAUGGUAGAUGCUGGUACGAAUUUCCAGGAAGUGUAGGUGAGAAUUCAACACUGAAGCAGGCACAGUACCUGGUCAUCUUUAUUUCCAACACUUUCAUGGUAAAUGUCAAAAGAAAUGCAGGGGAGAAACCAAGAAAUGGACUCCAAGAGUCACGCUCAGGCUUUUGGAGCCUAUGUUUGGUGACAUUUCUGUCUUGACAGCAGAAUCCUAUCUUUGAGAGUAAAUGCCUACAAUGUGGGAUUUUCCCUUCCUCCUUGGAUAUCAGAAAUCUGAAACUUACCUGCUGCUCAUUUCUGGCUGCAGAUAUCUCUUUUGGUGCCAGUUUUGGUUCCCCACUCUCAGAUGUCACCAGCUACCCUGCUGAAUUCUCCUCUUGCCAGCCAUGGCCCAGCUUAGGCAUCAAAUGGCCAGGGUAAACAAACAAGAAAUUAUCACUUGGAAAAAACAUCUGAUUAACUCAGCAGCAAUUGCUAUGAAAACAGAACACAGCAAAGGGCAGAUGUCUGCUUCAUUGCUUUCAUUCCAAGGACUGAUUGUUAUGGAAUGAGGUGGCCUUUCCACCUGGCAUUGGACCACAGGGCCAGGUGGUGCCAGGUGGCCUGGACAGUAGGGAAGAAGACAGAACAUCUCUGAGCCACCCAUACAGGCUCUGAUGAGUUUCUUCACACCCCCAGGGUGCCCUAAUGUGGAAGAAAUAAAAAUAGAGAAAAGAACGAUCCUAGGGAUCUGGUUUGGGGUUCUGCCUUAUAAUUACCGGGGAUCUUCAGGAAGUGAUUGGACCUCUCUGAUGUAUCCUUUCACUGCCAAUGAAAUGUUAGCGAUAAAGCCCAAUGUACAGUGCUGUUGUAAAAUAUAAUGAAAGAGUAUUCAGGGGCAAUUUGGGUUUACUACUUAAUAGCACAAAAUGGUAGUUGAUUUUAAUGAAAACUUGUACUUGAGAAAUCUGGCUUAGUUGGGUUUGGGGCAAAUGUAUAUUCAAUUAAUAAACCAUUAUGUGAAUUUCAUGGACACUAUACAAGAAAAUCUUUCUGUGCCCGAGGGCAAAAUUUUCUUUCUUAAUGAUGUGUAAUAUUUUGGUUUUAUAUUAGAAACAAGUUCUAGGAAGGAUGUGUUUAACAAGGACACUCCCUUAUUGGUUAUGGAUGUAUCAAGUUUGUUAAGUGAGAUUGAUCACAAUAAUUAACUGUGGUAAGGAAGUGGUUUUUGAGAACUGAAUAGGAGAAAAUGUGGUGAGUACUAUAGGUGAAAUAAUUAAUUUUUUCACAAUUUGUGAAGAAGAUGGGCAUUUA
rnacentral:lncRNA from 1 species